AUUGAACGCUGGCGGCAGGCCUAACACAUGCAAGUAGAACGAGUGGCGGACGGGUGAGUAAUGUCUGGGAAAAUGCCCGAUGGAGGGGGAUAACUAAUGGAAACGGUAGCUAAUACCGCAUACCAUCGGAUGUGCCCCGAUGGGUUUAGCUAGUAGGUGGGGUAACGGCUAACCUAGGCGACGCUCACUAGCUGUUCUGAGAGGAUGACCAGCCAGACUGGAACUGAGACACGGUCCACACUCCUACGGGAGGCAGCAGUAGGAAAUAUUGCACAAUGGGCGCAAGUCUGAUGCAGCCAUGCCGCGUGUAUGAAGAAGGCCUUCAGGUUGUAAAGUACUUUCAGCUAGGAGGCGGUACUCGCAGAAGAAGCACCGGCUAACUCCGUGCCAGCAGCCGCGGUAAUUC
rnacentral:rRNA from 1 species